GCCCGCGUAGCUCAGCAGGAUAGAGCGCUGGUUUCCUAAACCGGAGGUCACAGGUUCGAAUCCUGUCGCGGGUA
rnacentral:tRNA from 1 species